ACGAAGUUCCCGAGCGGAGCGCUGGCCGGCCGGGCGCGCUGCGCGGCGAGCCCCGGCUCCCACCGCCCUCCUUCCACCUCCCGGCUCGCACCCGGGGCCGCGCACGGCCAGCCGGCUCCGCGGCUUCACCUUCGGGACAGGCCCCCUGUAAGUGUUGCAAGGACAUGACAAAGUCUCUGCAGAGACUUCACCAGAACAGAGUCAACCACCCUCUGGUUUCAUAGUCAGUGGAGGGAUUCCUGCACCUUCUCUCUCUGCAUCACUCAGAUGUUUUUGCUGUGUUCUGAUGAUAUUAGAGUAAAUCACGCAAUGUUAUGCUGGCUUUUUGGUGAUGACCAUCCAGAAAGUAAAACAACUACAACAACAACAAAAGAAAAACCAGAAGUCAAGAGACUGUGAUUUCUGCUUUUUCAAGUUUUUUUAUACCCAGGACGUCAGCCACAUAACUUCUCCCCAUGUUAAUGGCCUUAUGUAACUAAAGCCCUUUUCACAUGUUUGGGACAGUACUUACAGUGCUGUAAUGUAUUUGUGGGACUGCUUGUCCACACAACAAAUAUUCCCUAAAAUGUGCUCAGGGGUCUGAAUCACAAAAGGGAAUGGUUCAUUUUAUGACCCGUUUUGUGGCUGCUGUCUCCAGCUGUCCUUUGGACAUCUCUGCAGAGCUGCCUCAGUCACCAAUUUGCAGCGGAGGAAAUCCAGACUUGGUACAACCUCACCUCAGUGCAAGCCACAGACUGUGAGCAGCUGCCACGUGGAGAGAGGAGACAACACCACAGCAAGUGUGGAAGGAGGGCAGCGUGGACCUCUGCCUGAGAGAUCACUACUCAUCAUGGACUGAGUCAUCUGUGUUUAUCAGCCACAGCCCUUGAGGUCUAAGUUGGCAUUUAACAUACUUUUACCCAGCUCCAGGGGUCUUUGGGUAACUAUAAAUAGGAAUUGGAGCUAUGGUAAAGCCCCCUUACUUUGCUAAAGAGGUGAAAUGAGGUUUACUGUAAAUAAAUAUUCAGGUGAAAGCUUUUCAAAAAGGCAUGGUCUCUGGGAUUUGUGACAAGAGAUAUAAUUUAAAUAAAGUGAGUACUUAAAAACCAUAUUAUCUUGUUCUCUGUGUAAGGGCAAAACAUGAAUAGGUCACUUAAUAAUUGUAGCUUUGGUGGAAUUUGCUUUUUUUGGAUGGAUGCCCAAGUAGUCUAAAUCAUGUAUACACAUGCUGACAUCACUGGAUGUGAGAUUACAGAAAUGGAGACUUAGAUCUGCCUUUUUAGUAAUUAAAAUUUCUAUUGUAUUAGGUGUUC